CUUCAGAUUUUAGCAGUUUAAACAGACUAUGAUAUGGCAAAUCUGAAUUUCGAGCUUAGUCACUCGCCUCACUCUCUAAGCUUGCAGAAGACUUUGCUAGGUGGCAGAUACACUGAUCUGAAGAGGUUAGGUGGGACCAACAGUGUUGUAUUUUCUGCGCUUGAUACUCCAUCAAAACACAGGGUUGCGAUCAAGCGACUGACCGCUUUAACAGACCAGCAAUGUCGAGCAGCAAUAAGAGAAAUAAGGAUUCUACGCCAUCUUGAGCACGACAACAUUGUCGACUUGUUUGAAAUACUGGGACUUGUUGAUCGGGAGAGGUCAGACAGAAAAGAGCUUCUCGCAGUGUAUCUGGUGUUGGAGCAUUGUGAUACGGACUUGCACUUUGUAUUGAAAAAUCAAACCCUUGACAGUGAACAUGUAAAACUUUUCUCAUAUCAGUUAUUGAAAGCUGCAAAAUACAUUCACUCCUCCAAUUGUGUCCAAGGCGCCUUAUCCGUCAUACUUUUCUGAUUAACCUUGAUAAGGGAGAGUUAAAAAUUUGUGAUUUUGGCAGUGCCAGGAUGAUAGAUCCUAAUUACGAUCAUACGGGAUAUCUUACUGGUGGAAAAAGCACUUUGUGGUACAGAGCUCCAGAGUGCAUCAUCACCCCACAAUAGUAUAAUAAACGUUGUGACAUCUGGUCGAUUGGUUGCGUUAUUGCUGAAAUGAUUUCAGGUAAACCCCUAUACCCGGGUAAAUACGAGCACGAGCAGCUACUCCUCAUGUCGGAGGGAGUAUG